UAUUUUUUUAUACACACACAGUCAAUACCACAAUCAGAAUACCACAACCAGAAGACCACAAAGACUUGAUGAAUUUAAGCAUCUACGACAAAUGAAAGAUUUUCAUUCUUUAUAACAUCAUCGCAAAUGGAAAAGCGCAAAUUUUCAGUACAUCAAUGUAUAGCAAGUUUGAAAUCCAAAGUGAAGUGUGUGAAGCGCUUAGAGGCCUUGCUGGCAUAAAAUGCUAUAUACAAUUACAUUAAUUUAGUGGCAACUGAGAAAACUGACAUGUUAAGUCUAAUGAACCCUCACACAUAUAGUGCAUUAUGCCUGAAGAGAGUCCAGAUCGGACCAAAAAUUUGUGAAGCCAUGGAAAGUUUUUCGAAAGUACUGACUGAAUGUGCCUGUGGCCUUUCUUGUGGGUGUAGCUGAUUGGCCGUGUCAUGUGAACAUGCAGAUAGCAUAGUGCGUGGAUCCUGUUGGAAAGCAGCCAAUAUGUCAUUACAUGAUAUUAAGGCCAUGCCGUACAUACUUAGUCAAUUUGAAUAUUUUUUACACAAAUUUCAGAUGCAGGUUUGCACGCUGGCUGUACACUGGAUGUGUCACAUGUCCAUCAAUCUCUGCCUAUCACAUCAGCCUAUCAUAUUGCAAGUUAUGAGAACUGCAUUACACAGUUACGUCAAAAUCCUGAAAAUUACAGGCGUGCAAGAAAGUCAAACUUAUUGUGUAAUAACUAUCUUUUAUUUUAUGCUUAAGAUAAUUUUAUAAACCAUAUGCAUUUACUUGAAAAAAUAUAUUUAUGUGAAUGUGUAUUAUAAUAAUUAAAAUAAUCGAAAAAGUCUAAAUUUGUAAGAAUAAUGUUUAUUCUGCUCCAUGUGUUUUAAAUAGUCAGAUGUUAAUGGUUAUGAUAUGUAAUAUUGUUAUUAGGCCUUAGUAUUAUUAUUGAUGUGUAUUGUAUGAUAUUAGGCUAAUAAAAUAUCAGUAUGUGCUGAAAUAUUCCGCUAUA